GAUCUAGGGAUCAGGAUCGCUAGGGAAGAGCAACAUCUGGGAUGUUUACCGUCCUCUGUACUUGUGUUCAUAGUGUUGGAAUUGGUCUUUGGCACUGGAAGGAUGUAAAACAGGCACACGAGAACACAAGUACGGUCGAGUACACAUAUUGAGAUCCAGCCAUAGUCAGGUCAAAAACACCAAAGCCGUCUGGCGCUCAAGGAGCAAAAAAAAAGGAGAGAAGAGGAGGAAAAAAUGGGAAUUAUAGGGUGUGAGACAGGUGGAGGUUUCUGUUUGCUGUGUUGGGGUCCAGAGCGAGUCGACAGGAAUCUGAUGGAGGAGAACAUCAGAAGACAUUCUCCAGUUGUUCCUUCAGUUUAACAACCGCAUUCGUCACGUUUCCAAAAUAGUAGCAUGGAUUGACAGAGAUUCUGGGCCCAAAUCCAGCUUCAGGGAUGACAGGAAGACGCAGGAACCUCUACA